GAUGAACGCUAACGGCAGGCCUAACACAUGCAAGUCGAGGGGUAACAUAGGAAAGCUUGCUUUUCUGAUGACGACCGGCGCACGGGUGCGUAACGCGUAUACAACCUACCUUUUAGCGGGGAAUAGCCCAGGGAAACUUGGAUUAAUGCCCCAUAGUAUAUAGACUUCUCCUGAAGUUUAUAUUAAACAUUUAUGGCUAUUAGAUGGGUAUGCGUCCUAUUAGUUAGUUGGUAAGGUAACGGCUUACCAAGGCAGCGAUAGGUAGGGGUCCUGAGAGGGAGAUCCCCACACUGGUACUGAGACACGGACCAGACUCCUACGGGAGGCAGCAGUGAGGAAUAUUGGACAAUGGGCGAGAGCCUGAUCCAGCCAUGCCGCGUGCAGGAAGACUGCCCUAUGGGUUGUAAACUGCUUUUACAGAGGAAGAACCACCCCCACGUGUGGGGGUUUGACGGUACUCUGCGAAUAAGGAUCGGCUAACUCCGUG
rnacentral:rRNA from 1 species